rnacentral:tRNA from 1 species
CAAGAUAUAGCUUAUUUAAAGCGCCUUGCUUACACCGAGGAGCUGUCUGAGACUCAGACUAUUUUGCCG